GUGUGCCCCGUGGGGUCCAUCACCAGGGUAGCCGCGGUCUGUUUCCACCUGGACCAGGACCAGCGGUGACCACAGUCCCUUCCACGGGGACCAGGACCAUCGGUGACCACAGUCCCUCACACGGGGACCAGGACCAGCGGUGACCACAGUCCCUCCCAAGAGGACUAGGACCAGCAGUGACCACGUUCCCUUCCACAGGGAACAGGCAGCGGUGACCACAGACCAUUCUCACGGGGACCAGGACCAGCGGUGACCACAGUCCCUCCCAAGGGGACCAGGACCAGCGGUGACCACAGUCCCUUCCCACAGUGACCAGGACCAGGGGCGGCCUUGGUCCUUUCCCACAGGGAACAGGAGCAGGGGUGGCCAUGGUCCGCUCCCAUGGAAACCAGUGAUGGCUUCCAUGGGCUUCAUUGGGAAAUCAGGGCUUCACGGAACACCGGGUUGGCUGCAGGUCUGUGCCCACCGGGACCAGCAGAGACCUCGGGUUCCGUCCCACAGGGUGCUGCAGAGAGGGGCUCUCAGCCUCAUUUUCCAUGACAACCUGAGUGGGGCCUUGGUCCGCACGAAGCCCAGGAUUCCUUUCUAGUCCCAUUCCAGGGAACGUGGCAUGAUCAGUCCCAAAUUCCUUCCCAGGCUAGACUACCCUAAAACUAACCCGAGGAGGGGAACAUGGGGACUGUGUGAGGAGACAGUAGAAACCCAUUUCAGGGCCGCACCUGUCGGGUGAGAAAGAUGUUGGAGAGGGGAACCUGGGGUUCAUCAGGGUACAUGGGCUGCACCUGGUCUGGAUCUCCAAACUAGGAUACCUUGAGUGAGAGAAAUAGGGAACUGAAGGAGGCCUCUGGCAAAAUGCCAUCUGUGGAUUUAAACAAGCACUCCCCAAAACAGCUGUUAAGUGUUUACAAAGAUGCACAUGUAUUUACAGAUGUGGGACAUUCUAGUGGGUGCCCAAUAUUUCCAUUGACCUUCAAACUUGAUUUUCUGUCAUCCCCUAAAUACCUUCCAGCCUCAAAAAGGUAAAGUGGGAAUGAAGAAAGCCAUGACAUGGGAUAACCACCGUCAGUGGCAGGUCUCCGGCCUCCCUACGCAGCAUGGUGACCCCCAGGCUUAUCAAGAUAUAAAAGUCCAUCCUGGAGGGCACAUUCGGCUCCGCAGGCUUCUCCCAGGUAAAAAUUGCCUGACUCUGUGAUUAUCUCUUUUCUAGUCUCUCUACAGCUUAUGAGUGGUUGAACCAGAUUCAGAACUGCUCUCCAGAGGACUUUUGGAAAUUUGGGGAUGGAGAAGGAAAUUUGUUGUCAGAAUGAUUAAGGAAUGUCGUCAAUAUUUCACAACUAGGCCCAGAAGUUUUAACACCUUGCAACGUAUAGGACAUCCCUGCCUAAAGAAAAAAUGCUUUUCCCCAAAUGCCAGUAGAUACCUGUAUUAGUCAGGGUUCUCCAAGGAAACAGAACUAAUGGGAAAUUCAUAUUCGUAAAUGGAGAUUUAUUAUGAGGCAUUGGCUCAUGUAAUCAUGAAGGCUGAGAAGAACCCUGAUCUGCUGUCUGCCAUACGGAGAACCAGGAAAGCUGGUGGUGUAAUUCAGUUCCAGUCUGAAGGCCUGAGCAAUGGUUAGACACGGGGCUUCGCCAUUUUGGCCAGGGCAGUCUCGAACUCCUGACCUCAAGUGAUCCGCAGACCCUCCUCGCCUCCCAAGUGCUGGGAUUACAGGCGUGAGCCACCGCACCCAGCCUCCUCCACCUUUUUCGCUCUACUCAGACCUUCAACAGAUUGGAUGAAGCCCAGCCACACCGGGGAGCGCACUUGCUCAACUCAGUUCACGGACGCAAAUCUCAUCUGGAAACACCUGCCCAGGUCCACCUUGAAACUACGUCCAAUGUGGGCCCCUGAUAUGGGUUUGGAUCUGUGUCCUCGCCCAAAUCUCAUGUGAAAUUGUAGCCCCCAGUGUUGGAGGUGGGGCCUGGUGGGAGGUGGCUGGAUCAUGGGGGUGGAUUUCUCAUGAGUGGUUUAGUGCCAUCCCCUUCGUUCUGUCUUCAUGAGAGUAAGCAAGUUCUCACCAGCUCUGGUAGUUUACAAGUGUGAACUCGCCGCACUCUCUUGCUCCUGCUCCCACCAUGUGAGACGCCUCACUGCCCAUCUGCCUUCUGCCAUGAUUGGAAGCUUCCUGAGGCCUCCCCAGAAGCAGAAGCUGCAGUGCUUCCUGUACAGCCUGCAGAAUCGCAAGCCAAUUCAACCUCUUUUCUUUAAAAACUACCCAGUCUUAGGUAUUUUUUUUCUUUUCUUUUUUUUUUUUUUCCUUUUGAGACAAGAUCUCACUCAGAUGCCCAGGCUGGAAUGCAGUGGUACAGUCUCAGCUCACUGCAACCUCCACCUCCUGGGUUCAAGCGAUUCUCCUGCCUCAGCGUCCUGAGUAGCUGUGCCACCAUGCCCUGCUAAUUUUUGUAUUUUUAGUAGAGAUCACAUUUCACUGUGUUGGCCAGGCUGGUCUCGAACUCCCGCCUCAGCCUCCCAAAGUGCUGAGAUUACAGGCGUGAGCCACGGCACACAGCUUUCAGGUAUUUCUGGUUUUUUUGUUUGUUUGUUUGUUUGUUUGUUUUUGAGAUGAGGUCUCGUUUUGUCGCACAGUCUGGAAUGCAGUGGUGUGAUCUCGGCUCACUGCAGCCUCCGCCUCCCAGGUACAAGUGAUUCUCCUGCCUCAGCCUCCCAAGUAGCUGGGAUUACAGGCGUGCACCACCACACCCAGCUAAUUUAGUAUUUUUAGUAGAG
rnacentral:lncRNA from 1 species